rnacentral:rRNA from 1 species
UACGGGGGGGAGCAAGCGUUGUUCGGAUUUACUGGGCGUAAAGGGCUCGUAGGCGGCCAACUAAGUCAUACGUGAAAUCCCCAGGCUCAACCUGGGAACUGCGUCUGAUACUGGUUGGCUUGAAUCCGGGAGAGGGAUGCAGAAUUCCAGGUGUAGCGGUGAAAUGCGUAGAUAUUAGGAAGAACACCAGUGGCGAAGGCGGCUCACUGGCCCGGUACUGACGCUGAGGCGCGAAAGCGUGGGGAGCGAACAGG